GGCGGGCGCCGGGGCGGGGACCGGAGCCGGGCAAGGCUCCCGUCAGGGGCCGGCGGGCGGGCGCGCGCGGGGCGCCGUAGGGGGACCCGCGGCGGCCGGGGGCGACGAGCUGCCUUGGGCCCGCCGCUCACGGGGAGGCGCCUUCCCGAGCCCAUGCCCGUGCCCAGCAGCGGCCGGUGAGCGGCAGCGGCGGCGGCUGCUCCUCGUCGUUGUCGUCGUCGUCGCCCGGAAGGCGGCCGCCCCCAUCUCCCCCCGCGCCGCAGGGUCUGUCACUGCGGGCCCCAGGCCGGCCGUUACCCAGGGCCGCGGGCGCGGCGUCGCAGCCUAGGGAGCGAUGGGGGCCGCGGCCGCGGAACGGGCGCUGGAGGGGGAGGGACGCAAGGCGGCAGUCGCGGAGGGAUCCUGCCGGGACUUGCCGGCCUUGCUGCUCCCGCGCGGCGGACGGGCGGCGGACGGGCGGCGGCGGCGACGGCGACGACGGCAGAGCAGGCACCGGCCGAGGAGCAGAGGGAUCGUCGCGCUCGCGGCUGACGGGCGGCCGGGACCAGCAGAAGUGGGCGGGGUGGCCGCCUCUCCGGGCAGCCCGGGCCGGCCGGGCCCACCCUCCCCCCUCCCUAGCUGAUUGGCUCAGGCGGCCCGUUCUCCGCCCGUGAUUGUGCCGGGUCCCCAAUCCCAUUCGCCCAUGCCGCGGCCACGCCGCCCUGGGGGGCUAUGGAUCAUAUUGGAGCCACCGCCUCUAGUCUCUCGGCGGCCGUCAGGACGCGAUUGGUCCGCGGAGAGCAGAGAGGCGGAAAACCCGGGCUGGAUUUCUGGUGGCUUUUGUUCCCGCAAAUUUACGUGGAGCAUUGUUUUUGGGCGAAAACGGGGCCUUCGGCCUUCCUGCUUUAUUCCUGAGCGGUGUAAGAGGGAGGUAGUGGGUAUCUUCGAGAAACGGCCGCCGCGGGGUCCGGAGCCCCGGGUUCCAAUCCCGGGUCGGCCACUGCUAAGCUGUGUGACCUUGGGAUAUGAUCCAAGGUGCUGAAAACUUCCUAACAAAACUCUUCAGCCGAAUCUGGCACGCCUAUGGUUCCAGCUACUGGGUAGACUGAGGCAGGAGGAUCGCUUGAGGCCAAGAGUUCAAGGCCAACCUGGGCAACAUGGUGAGACCCCCCCCUCCCCCCCAGUCUCUCCAAAACAAACAAACCCCACAUUCUCCAGUCUUAGGUCUUCAAGGAUGAACAGACAUUGCAGAAAGGCACGGUUGGGAACAGAAAAAAAUGAUCUCCACUCCCCCAGCCCCCUCCACACCUUGGGCACAUUUCCCUGGAGCCGCCCGAGUGUUCUUUGUCAGUGUAGGAAGAAGCAAAAAUCUAAAUGGAGUCAGGAUGGCCUCCCACAUGGGCACAAGGACAAGGCUGGGGACAGUUGGGUCUCCUCAUCUUAUUUCCCAGGUCUAGGCUGAUUUCUAUUAAUAAUUAAAUUAAUCGUUGUUCUCCUGGACCUCACUUCUUAAUGUGAUUCCAGGAAACUGGCCACAUUCCAAAAUUCAUAAUCUAAGGUAGUGAAAUAACGUGAGCAUCAAGACAGUUUGGCUGGGCUCAGAGGCUCACAUCUGUAAUCCCAGUACUUUGGGAGGCCGAGGGUAGAUCCCUUGAGCCCAGGAGUUCGAGACCAGCCUGGGCAACAUGGCGAAAUCCCAUCUCUACAAAAAAUACAAAAAUUAGCCAGAUGUGGUGGCAUGUGCCUGUAGUCCCAGUUACUUGGGAGACUGCGGUGGAAGGAUUGCCUGAGCCCAGGAAAGGGAGGUUGCGGUGAAUGGGGAUCCCACCACUGCACUCCAGCCUGGGUGACAGCGUAAGACUCUGUCUCAAAAACAAAAGAUUCAUUUCUUAUUGAUAAAGCAAGCUCCUUGGAGAAAGAUCUUGGAACCUCAUUGGGAGUGGAGGUGGGGCUUCUUCAAUCCAGCCGAGCUGGCUGUGAAACCCCCAGGGUUUGGUACCAAGUGAGCUCCAGUCCCAGCUGUGGCUGACUGUGUGAACUUGGCUAUGCAUUCAAGGGCCUCUGAGCCUCAGUUUCCUCAUCUGUAGAAGAGAGCCAGGAACCCGUCAUCCUGGCUAGCAGUGGAAGUCAAAGGUGCUCAUGGAAAGAAUGUCCUUGCUGGCUGGAACAAGGGAGGCCUGAGCUGUGGAAGUCCUUGGAUCAAGGUCCUCCCCACUUCCCGCUGCCUUUUUGGUCCUUCUUGCGUGCUCUUUGUGAUUUAAUGGCUUAGUAGGUUGAAUCAUGUCCCCCCAAAGUUUAUCUCUACCCCAAAUCUCAGAAUGUGACCUUAUUUGGAAAAAGAGUCUUUGCAGAUAAUUAAGGUAAGAGUCAAGAUAAAAUCACACUGAAUUAUGGUGAGCCCUACAUGCAAUGAGACAGUCCUUACAAGAUACAGAAAAGAACACAUAGAGACUUCGGGGGAAAGGAGACUAUGUGCAAGGAUGGCAGAGAUUGGAGCCGAGGGGUGCCUGGGCCUACCAGAGGCUGCAAGAGACAGGGAGGACCCUCCCCUAGAGCCUCCAGGGGGAACAGCCCUGCCCACACCUUGACUUUGGACUCCUGGCCUCCAGAACUGUGAGAGGGGCAGCCAGGGAAACCGAAACAAUGUCAUUUCCCCCCAGAAGUCGGCGUGGCUCAGCUCAGUCCAGUUCACAACAAAUAUGAAAUCCCUGCCCUACAGGACCAGGCCUCAGGAAGGGCUUGGGGGCCUCAGAGGCAAAUGAGACCAGGUCCAUCAACCAUACAGAACUGACAACCUGGACUCCCCACUCUGAAGGCACCUACUGUCUCACCCUUCCCUGACUCUGCCCGUGCACAAGGUGACCCCGGCUGCAAGCGUGCCAGGAGCUUUUCUCCACCUCUGCCUCAACAUCUGCCGCCUCUCCUCCUCUGGAGAGGGAGGCAGCUGAAGGACACCAGCCCCACGCCUUGCUGGAGCAGCUGAGAUCGCUGGGAGGAGACCUAGGACCCUACGAGAGGAGGGAUCUGGAGGCCAGGACAGGAGCAGGACAACACAAACAGAGGCCUCAGAAGAAGACUCAGAGUGGGACAGGGGUUCCUUAAGUGACGGGGGCUGGAAGUGCACAGAGAAGCCUGGUGCAGCAGGGAAUUUUCUCUCCCUGGGGUGCUGCCAAGGUAUGUGUGGUCUCCAGCUGCGACAUGUGCUUCCUUCCCUUGGCCUGAGUCCUGCUUUCCUGUGAUUGAGAAGGUUUGGGACCUGACACCCUGAGCAUGGAGGCCAUAAAUCCAGUGGAUCCCUAAACUUCCUGACGGGGUCCUGGCUCCAGGCCUCGGUUCCUGACAGCCUCGUGUAAUUGACAAAACCCCAUGGGGCUGUUUCUGAUACUGCUAUCAAAAUUCCCAUCAUGCAGAUACUGAAUGGUCAAGGGCUUCGGCCCGUGCCACACAGUUAGUUCAUGUUGGAAUUGGAUUCUGCCCUAAGUCAAUUGCCCAUAUAGACUCUGCCCCUCCCAGGAGGAAACCACAAAUGUGACAUAUUGUUUAUUUGCUAUUUUUGCAAAGGUGUCUGUUGCUUGCCAGCUUUUCCAGCCAUGACUGCAGACAAAGUCCACCUAGAGUCAUAAAUGGGCAAUCAGCCCCGAACAACGUCCAGCCCCGGUUUCUGCACGGCGAGGCGUUUUUGUCCGUGGCAGACCUGCUUACCCGGGUGUCUUUGGUGUGGGGCUAGAUGCAGCAUUUCCCCAGUGGGAAUGGCCUGGGGUCUUAUUUAAAGUGGAGGGUCCUAGGCCUGGCCCCACGUAUGGAGUCAGGAUCCCUAGGGGUAGGACCUUGGAAUCCGCAUUUUUUUUGAGACAGGGUCUCACUCUGUCACCCAGGCAGUGGCACGAUCUCAGCUCUCUGAAACCUCCACCUCCUGGUUCAAGCGAUUCUCCUGCCUCGGCCUCCUGAGUAGCUGGUAUUACAGGCACGCACCACCAUGCCUGGCUAAUUUUCUAUGUUUUUAGUAGAGAUGGGGUUUCAUCAUGUUGGCCAGGCUGGUCUCCAACUCCUGACCUCAAGCCAUACACUGGCCUCGGCCUCCCUAAGUGCUGGGAUUACAGGUACGAGCCACCGUGCCUGGCCAGGAAUCUGCAUUUUUGCUAGUAACCCUGGUCAUCUCAGUGCACACCAAAGUUUGAAACCACUGUUGGGGUGUGGAGUUCUUGCUUCCAGACUUCCAGGGCCUAUGGAUUGAACAACAGCAGCCACAGUAGUAAUUAGAAUUUUCAGUCUGAACCACAAGCCUGCCAUGCAACAAGGGUUUCCUCCCGUUUUACAGAUGAGGGACCUGAGGCUUCAUAAGGCUGUUAUUGACCUGAGGUCGCACAGCUGAUGGCUCCUGGGUUCUUAGCGUUAAGUUUUGCAGCCUUAUUUCUGUUGUAUAUUUGUUUCUCAUCUUUCUGUGUUUAUUGCACUGCAAUUGUGAUAUCCUCUAAAAGCCAAGGAUGAACUCACUGCUGACCUUGGUUUUAUUCGUUUGUUUAUUUUCACCUUUUCUUGUGAAAUGUGCAAACAUACUCAAAAGUCAAGAGAAUCAUAUGGUGAUUUCUCAUAGUCCCCUUUGGCCAGCUUCAGCAAAGAUGACAUUUUGCCACUCUUAUUCCAUCCAUUUCUGUCACGCCACCCCUGACAUACACACAUGUUCUUUCUGGAGUAUUUUCAAGCAAAUACAGGAUUUUUAAAAACAUGUAAA
rnacentral:lncRNA from 1 species